UCAGCUCCACUCCUAAUCAAACACACCUGUACCAAAUAAUCAAGUGGUCCUGGGUUACUUGAAAAUGACAGACAGGUGUGUUGGAACUAAAGUAUGUAUGAAGGUAGCUCUCCAGGAACAGGGUUGGGGCUCUAUAAAUAUACAUUAUUUAGUAAAAAGGUUGUAUUGUUUAUGUUUUUUGCUUAUCUCAGUGUACACAAGUGUUAUAAUUUUAAUAAGAUGAUUUAUUUUGUUUUGACAGAUCAUUCCCUGGACUGUUUUUUAAAAAACAAGGUAAACUUUGUUUUCAGGAAACAAAAUCAACAUGAAAGGUCUCCAUCCAAUUCUUUCUGCUCCCAGAGCAUAGUGACCGAACUCCAAAGGGGAGAGAGGAACUUAGACUUCUUCAGGCAGGCCUUGGACGAAGAGUUGUGUUAUUGCCAGAAAACUGUGGCCACAAAGAGAUUGUCAGUGUCCUUGAAGAGGAAUUUCACAAAAUGAAGCAGCUGUCUGGUGGUUGGCUUUGCUAUAAAGCUGCAGGUGGGUGUGGCCAAAGAAAACUGACUGUGGUGCCACCUGAGUCAGAGGGCUAGACAGCAAAGUCUUUAAAAACAGCAUCCAACAAUGGCAAGAUCACACUCUAUAUUGUACCGCUACAAGACACGAUAGACACUUCGCCACUACCCCCACAUGCAGCUGAAUUUGAGAAGAUGCCCAAAUCCAUUUGUAAAAAAUGUGGAGUUAUGAUGCCACUUCAAGUUUUGGCUUUGCACAUUGAAAAU